GACGAACGCUGGCGGCGUGCUUAACACGUGCAAGUCGAACGGAAAGGCCCUGCUUGCCGGGUACUCGAGUGGCGAACGGGUGAGUAACACGUGGGUGAUCUGCCCUGCACUUCGGGAUAAGCCUGGGAAACUGGGUCUAAUACCGGAUAGGAGCCAUUUUUAGUGUGAUGGUUGGAAAGUUUUUUCGGUGUAGGAUGAGCUCGCGGCCUAUCAGCUUGUUGGUGGGGUAAUGGCCUACCAAGGCGGCGACGGGUAGCCGGCCUGAGAGGGUGGACGGCCACAUUGGGACUGAGAUACGGCCCAGACUCCUACGGGAGGCAGCAGUGGGGAAUAUUGCACAAUGGGCGCAAGCCUGAUGCAGCGACGCCGCGUGGGGGAUGACGGCCUUCGGGUUGUAAACUCCUUUCGCUAGGGACGAAGCUUUUUGUGACGGUACCUAGAUAAGAAGCACCGGCUAACUACGUG
rnacentral:rRNA from 1 species